AUGAAUGAUUGGGCUCCUCCUCUCAUAGCUGCAGCACUGUUUUGGCUAUUAUCUCCAGGAAUGAUCUUUCAGCUUCCAGGGAAGAAUGCACCCUUUGAGUUUAUGAACAUGAAGACAACUAUUGCGUCGAUUUUUGUACAUGCUGUUAUUUAUGGUUUGCUUCUUAUGUUGUUCUUUGUUGUUCUUAAUGUUCAUCUUUAUAUCACUUGA